ensembl:lncRNA
AAAUAACAGGUAACAACACUAAAGCCAGACUACACCAGCUUUUCACGACCGUAGAGGAAGACAAACAGGGAGUAGUUGGUUGUUGUUAGCUAGCCACUGUUUUGGACAAUUCGGAAUGAAGUCAUCUUCCUUCCUUCGUCGUCCUGUAUUUCAAAGCCCUUCUACUGGCACCAUCUGCGUUGGCCCCCUGCUGAGUGGUUUGACUGAUGGUCCAACAGCCUCAGUGUUUCUCCAGCUGCCUUUAGUCUUAC